GUAUUAAAUUAAAAAAAAAUGUAAAUGCCAUUAUAAUGGACUUUUUUCUAAUUUUUCUUCUAUUAAUCGAUACCUCUAAUAUAUUUUUAUUUAUUCAUAAUUUUGUUUUUCAAACCAAAGACAAUAUUAAAAAAUGAGUUUAAUGGCAAUGCACUGUCAGUGUAAAUAAGUAUUAUACAAACAUUCGAUUAAAAUAUUUUAAAGUACCAUAUCAUACAAGUAAUUUAAAAUUUACGAUCUGACUUAGCAGAAUAAUUGAUACCGUAAAAAUAAUUUACAGUGUUAGUUAAUGCACCAUCCUUUUUCGUUUGAAAAGAAUUUCCACUACCAUGAAUAACACAAACGCACACCGUUAAUUUGGUGGAUAAGCUAUACUCCUUAUAUUCCCAACUCAAUCCGUGAACGCUACCGCAGAAGCCGACAAAGAAUCCAGCGCCGAAACAAGUUUCCACCCUUGACGUAAAUUCCAUUUUUCUUCACUUCAAAAAUUUCACUUCACAACUUCAGUUAUAUGCAUUACAUGUUUUUUUCAUCGCCAGUGUUACAAACUUACACUAUAAGUAAUGAUUUCUUUUGAUGUGUGGGUUAUAAAAGAAACCAACCUGGCCAUGGUUUAUUGAAUGAGACGAUGAAUAUGAAGUUUACAGGUUAUUCCAUUUCCCUUUCAUUUUCUCCUUUAACUUCCAAUUUCAUAAAAAACACUCCCAGAUUACAGGCCACUAUAUCUCGAAGAAGCCCUAGAAAUUUAUGCAUUUCAAAGUUCUUUUGUUCCAAACAACAAUCAUAUAAUAGACACGAGGCUGUUGCCAAUCACUAUCUUCCUCCUUGGUUCAGUGUUGCUCCAAUGAUGGACUGGACAGACAAUCAUUAUAGGACUCUAGCACAUCUCAUAUCAAAGCAUGCUUGGCUGUAUACUGAGAUGCUUGCAGCCGAAAUAAUUGUUCAUCAAAAAUAUAAUCUCGUAAGUUUAAAUGAUUCGUAAUGACUUCUAAUGCAAGGGUAAACACAUAUACUCAGAGACACCGUUCAAUGUACAAAAAAGCUAAAUCAAUUCUAUUUUUGACAUCAUUCAAAACAUUUAAAAAGGAAAAUGUAUUCACACAUUGAACAAGGGGCUUGUUCAUCUAAGACACUUUGUACUAAUUCUAUUGAAGAAUGAAUUUCCUUUCUUGGAUUGGAAGCCUUCCAAACAUAGGUGUGGUUGCAUUGAACUGAGUUACCAAUUAUCUUGUAUUCUUUAUUGUUUUUACAUUGUUUGUGUCUUGCUGUCAUAUUUUUUUAAAUCCAAUAUAACAAAUUUUUUUAGACAUUUGAUCCAACAUAUGUCCUCUUAAGAACAAAAUUUCAAUAUUGACUUUUUUGAAAUUUAACAUAACUAACCAACUUGAUGAAGAUGCCAAAGACUAAAAGUUAAAAUUAAAUAAAAGGUUAAAAGAUGAUGAAGUUUAUGUAAGUGACAAAGAUAACAUAACAUAACUAUUUUAGAUUUGCUUCUAUCUAUUACGAAAAGGCUAAAAGUUAAAUUAAAAAUAUCUAAUGAAGUUUAAACUUUCAUGUUCAUCAAAAUUUUAUAUGGAAUCUUUAAUAUUAUUCUAAUUUUAUAUUUGGCUUUCAAUAAGUCCUAAUGCUUAAAAUUAUUUAUUUAAAGUAGGAAAAAAAUGAAAAUUUUCUAUAAAGUGCACAAAAUAGUUAUAUUCAUUAUAUAUAUAUAUGCAAAGGAGGAAAAAUAUGGCUCAAAUUAUCAUGUUUAUUUAUGUUGUUCUCAUAUUUUUUUCUCUAUAUUUUGUCGUAACCAAUGGUGGUCGACGUGGUGGACUUGGACGUGGUGGACGGGGUAGUGGUCGUAAUCGCGGUCACAUUCCUUGCAUUGAACACAGUGAUUGUCCUAAGAAGACUUUACCUUUACCUUUAGUUAUGAAAUGUAUUGACGGUUUUUGUCAUUAUAGAUUCAUAUCCGAAGAUUAAGUUUAAAAAUAAUCAUAUCACUUAUAAGCAUAUAACUUUAUUUACAGUCAUAACGUAUGUACUUUAUAUUUUACUUUAAAAUAAUCUCGAUGUUUCUCUUGCUUUUCAAAUUUUAUAAUAAUCUUAAAAGCGUAUUUGUAUACUAUUAUGAAAGUUUUUUUUUGGGCGACAAAAAAUCAUAAUAAAUAUGAUAUACAUUUAUGAUUUUUCAUUGUUACAAAAACUAGUGGGAAACCCGUGCGUCCGCACGGGUUCUGGUGUGAGCCGCAGAUACGUCACCAGCUUGUCAUGCGAAUUCAAACAAAUUAGAAAAAAUCAAAAA